rnacentral:rRNA from 1 species
CCUACGGGUGGCAGCAGUGAGGAAUAUUGGUCAAUGGACGAGAGCCUGAACCAGCCAAGCCGCGUGAAGGAUGACGGCCCUAUGGGUUGUAAACUUCUUUUAUAUGGGAAUAAAAUGUUCCACGUGUGGGUUUUUGUAUGUACCAUAUGAAUAAGGACCGGCUAACUCCGUGCCAGCAGCCGCGGUAAUACGGAGGAUCCGAGCGUUAUCCGGAUUUAUUGGGUUUAAAGGGAGCGUAGGUGGAUUGUUAAGUUAGUUGUGAAAGUUUGGGGCUCAACCGUAGCAUUGCAGUGGAAACUGGCAGUCUUGAGUGCAGUAGAGGUGGGCGGAAUUCGUGGUGUAGCGGUGAAAUGCUUAGAUAUGGCGAAGAACUCCGAUUGCGAAGGCAGCUCGCUGGACCGCAACUGACGCUGAGGCUCGAAAGUGUGGGUAUCAAACAGGAUUAGAUACCCGAGUAGUC